rnacentral:rRNA from 1 species
GAAUUUUAUAUAAAUUAUUAAUUUUUAUAGAUAAAUAUAUUAAAAUUUAUAUUUGAUUGGGAGGAUUAUUAAAUUUUAUGAACUUUAAAUUAAAUAAACAUUGAUUUAUGAUUUAUAUUGAUUAAGAUUUAUUAAAAAUUUUAUAAUAGAAUUAAUUACCUUAGGGAUAACAGCGUAAUAUUUUUAUAAAGAUCUUAUUAGUAGAAAUGUUUGC